ACUCAACAAUUCCAAACACGUACUUAUUUUAUCAUUUUUUGGGUUCUUUGGGACUAUCGUGGUAGGUAAAAAUGAACUGGAGCCUCAAACACAGCUUCUCUUAUCUACACGUUUUAUGUGAUCCAUAGGUGAAACAUAUUAUAUGAGGUUAAUAAAUAAAUUUGAUCAAAAAUUGCUUAAUGUUUUAAUACUUGAAAUGGUUUAGAAAUUGACAUUAUUCAUUGGACUUUUGGAUACGCCAAUGAUGGAACGUGCGAUGGGUUUUAAAAGUGAAGUGGUUAUGCCAUAGCCAAUGGAUGAUAUGUCUCUGUCUUUGUCUUGGUCGGACCAAGUGGAGAAGACACUAUAUGUGUGCAUCGAACUUCAUGGGUCCAAAUUAGACCAAAAUCAAAUCCCUCGAAAUAUUUCUUGCACACGUAUUUAAUGUUUUUCUUUUUUGGCGAAAUUAUAAAUUUGUAAUUUGAAACUCGGGUUAGACGGUGUCGUACGCUUUUGGGCUAGUCCACUCUUUAGCACUAAGCAAAUUAAUUCCGGUGCCGACCAGAUCAUGGCUUAUCAAAAAAACAAUUGUAAUUUGUGGACCCUAAGUCGUUUGUAUCAUGUCUAAUAGGGAUGUAGCCUGUAGAGCGUGAUUCUAUAAGUUUUUAAUCCGAACUUUGUAAUGAGCUAUCUACUUUGUGAAUAGGAGAAACGAAGAUUCACAUAAGAAGGAAACAAAUCUUAUCAUACACCACUCGCAUUUGUUAUCUCGUGACAUUCUCAAAACAACAUGCGAUCAUUUCACCAUAUAUUUUAAGAAAUGUGUGUACGUGUUCUUUAAAAAAGAUGCCUCUAGAGCAAUUGCGUUUCUUCCCCCAAUCCGCUAGGCUAUAUAUCUACUUACACUCUAGCAAAUUUAGUUAUUUGUUUAAAAACUCCCUCAAAUGUAAUUAACUUAAACUCUACGUUAAAGUAUAACCGCUAAACUAUUUAUCGAGCAAAUUAGAGUAGGCCAAAUCAAUAUAUUAGCUGUAUCCUUUGAAUAUUUGUUCAGUUUUAAUAUGUUUCAGGCCCAAAAUAACUAGUAUAUGCACGUCUAUAUGAUUAGUAAUGCAAAUUGCAUGUGUAAAUGUUUAUCAUAUGCGAAAUCUACGCAUGACGAAUUGUAGAUUUCCAUAGCCGUAGCAUUUUGAACCCAUAACUUAUUUUUCACACUAGCAUUCUUACUUUAUUAGGUACAGAAAAGUUUUGAAAUCAAAAUGUACACUACA
rnacentral:lncRNA from 1 species